rnacentral:rRNA from 1 species
UGGGGAAUAUUGCACAAUGGGCGAAAGCCUGAUGCAGCGACGCCGCGUGAGGGAUGACGGCCUUCGGGUUGUAAACCUCUUUCAGCAGGGAAGAAGCGAAAGUGACGGUACCUGCAGAAGAAGCGCGGCUAACUACGUGCCAGCAGCCGCGGUAAUACGUAGGGCGCAAGCGUUGUCCGGAAUUAUUGGGCGUAAAGAGCUCGUAGGCGGUUAGUCGCGUCUGCUGUGAAAACUCGAGGCUCAACCUCGGGCUUGCAGUGGGUACGGGCUGACUAGAGUGCAGGUAGGGGUGACUGGAAUUCCUGGUGUAGCGGUGGAAUGCGCAGAUAUCAGGAGGAACACCGAGGCGAAGGCAGGUCACUGGGCCGCAACUGACGCUGAGGAGCGAAAGCAUGGGGAGCGAACAGGAUUAGAUA